UACGUAGGGGCCAAGCGUUGUCCGGAUUUAUUGGGCGUAAAGAGCUCGUAGGCGGUUGGGUAAGUCGGGUGUGAAAACUCCAGGCUCAACUUGGAGAUGCCACCCGAUACUGCUCUGACUUGAGUUCGGUAGGGGAGUGGGGAAUUCCUGGUGUAGCGGUGAAAUGCGCAGAUAUCAGGAGGAACACCGGUGGCGAAGGCGGAUCUCUGGGCCAUUACUGACGCUGAGGAGCGAAAGCGUGGGGAGCGAACAGG
rnacentral:rRNA from 1 species